rnacentral:tRNA from 1 species
UCAGAAAAACCUGUUAAGGCAUCUCAGAUUUCCAAAACCUGGAUUUUAUUUAAACUAUUUUC